GAUCUUCAGGGCAGGGUGAAAGUCCCUACCGGCGGUAAAGCCCGCGAGCGCAAGCAGAUCCGGUCAGAUUCCGGAGCCGACAGUACAGUCUGGAUGAAAGAAGAUA
rnacentral:ncRNA from 1 species